GGAAAACUCACCAGGUCCAGACAUAGGAAGGAUUGACAGAUUGAGAGCUCUUUCUUGAUUCGGUGGGUGGUGGUGCAUGGCCGUUCUUAGUUGGUGGAGUGAUUUGUCUGGUUAAUUCCGAUAACGAACGAGACUCUGUCCUGCUAAAUAGUGUCUGCUUCUCUUUUGAGCAGACAAGAGAUUGAGCAAUAA
rnacentral:rRNA from 1 species